rnacentral:misc_RNA from 1 species
UUAAACUUUUACAGCUGGAGGGAAAAAAAAAUCAUGAACUCAACGUAUUUAUACAAAGUAUUGGGAUUCACAAAAGAAAAGUAAGAUAUAAAAGAGGAUGUAACUAUUGAGUUGAAGUGUCUCUUGUCAACACCUAUGGCUAUAUUCUUCCUUCUUCCAUAAGCCCCCUCUGAAUCCUGCAUCUUCAAUUGGAAAUGCCUCCACCUCGGGGCACCAGCUAGCCUUGAGUAUUCUUAACGAAGGCAUCACUCGAUUUACUGCUGACCACUCCAAUCUCAAAUCAGUUAAAGCUUCCAACAUUAACCCCUCAAUUUUCCAAACAGUAGUGUGAUCACCCCAGAAGUUGUCGUGCAUUUCUUUCAUAUCACCUGAAUUGAUUGACAUAUAUCGCAACAUGGGGAGAGAUGUGGGGUUAAGCCAUUCAGGACUUAUUUUACCUGGAUAGAAUUUAAGAAUCAGCUCGUGGAGUUGUCGAGGAGGAUAAAGUUUACCAAGUUUUGUGACUAGUCCAUCAUCUUGACUGUCAAAGCAACUUAUUGUCAAAAGUUGAAGUUCUUGGAGACCUAUCAGUGCAUUCCCCUCAUCAUCGCCAAUCUCCUCAUCCUGAGUUAGUCUUAAACUGAGCCUUCUCAGUCGAGUAAGGCUUCUGAGUUCAGAAAUACGACAACCUCCACGCUGGCUUAAUUUUGCAGGCUUAAAUCCAAGCAGUACUUGAAGAUUGGAAAGCUUACUCAAUCCUUUUGGCAGGUACUCAAGUGACCCACAGUGGUUCAAAUCUAAAAUUGCUAGUUCCACAAAUGUUAAAACACAAGAGGGGAGCAUUUUCAUAUUCUGGCAAUAGCUGAAGUCCAAAAUCUGUAAUUUUUCAAGAUUGGAUAUGGAAUCUGGAACACCAAUCAACGGGUGUGUAUUGCUUAAACUGAGAUAAGCAAGCUGUCUG